rnacentral:rRNA from 1 species
AUGCGCCCUGGCCGUAUGCGGAACGGCUCUUGCUGGUCCGCCGCUCGGCUCGGGGUGUGGACUGUUGUCGGCCGCGCCGGCGGCCAAAGCCCGGGGGCCCUAGGUGCCCCCGGUGGCCGUCGUCGGCACGGCCGGUACCCGCGCGCCUAA